rnacentral:lncRNA from 1 species
GGGGAGAGAACGCGGCGUACGGAACGCCGCACCGAGGGGGAUUUCUGAGCCAUAAAAGCGGCCCUGAGAGGAAUGCGGAUCUCCACGGCGAGCAGCAAGAACCACCUCAGGAGAGCGGAGCCAACCCCGGGCCCGAGCAGAGGGCACCCGCAGGCAAAGAGGAGCGCUCGAGACCUUUAAAGCCACCUCAGGGAGCGCUGCUGCGGGGUGCGGGCACAGAGAGCCCCCGGGAGGAGGGCGGUCCUCCAUCCACUCCUUCGGAAGACAUUUCUACGCCGUUAAUGUACCUCUGAAAACAUGCACCUGAGCUAACGGCGAUUCCCGAAACCAUUUCGUGUCAUUCACUGCAAAGAGAUGGCGGUAUUCAUUUCAGACUUUGAGAGCAAAGAAUAAAUUGUGCAGAGCGGGAGAAUCCAGGAGCAGAGAAACUGAGUUCAUGCAAAAAUGAGAGCACACAGCAGGUAUGCACAUGGUAAACUUCAUUUGAACUUGUUUACAAAAUUGACAAAAAAAAUCACCUUGUAAACUUAUUCACAUUUUUUGGAGCUCACAGAACUGGUUAUAGUAGCAUGCUGAAAUAAAGAUUGUCAAGCCUCGUCUCACCCCAGAUCACAUCCGAGUGAGCUGACCCUUACAGCAGAAACAAACCGGGUACGUGACAGGAGGUGAAGCUCGCGUUGUAAGCGAUGUCCCUGGAGAUUGUGCACCACCGGGGAGAGGGCCGAGUCCGGCACGUGGAGCUCCCUCAAGCAAAGUGAGCAUCAGCACGGGCAGUUUGCUGCGGAGAGCUGCAUGGAAUCUGAGCAGCGAUGGAACUCAGGACAUCACUCGACCUUUCGGGCCGUCAACUGCAGCAGAAAUAAAAUAAACAUUUCCCAACGUGAGCAACUUCUGAGCCCUCUACCAUCACAUCUGCCUUCCUGAGCUGCAAGACAGUAACUUUCUGCAACUCUACAACACACUGCCUGACCUCAUCAACUGCAGAAGGAUAAAAUGGAAGUAAACUGAAAAUAUACUUGGAAACAUUUUUGGUAACCACUUUUUUCUGGUUAGAUUUCACGCAGACGUCGGGUUUCAGAAACAGAAGCAAACAAACACCAGUAAGAUUUCUGAGAUAGCCACACAUUGCAAUCCCAGUCAAACCACAAAAGCAGGUUUUAACAAGAACGACUUAAAAAUAAACCCAAUGUUAUCAGUUGUAUUCCAUGGAAUAAACCAAAGCAACGUAGACCUGGUGAGGAACACUUCUAAAAUCACAAUUUGACAGUGAAGAGCUUUGCCUCUGCUCCCAAAGGCACAACUACUUUUACCACGGCUCUUCCACAGCAGUGAGACCCAGCACACAUGAGUUAACAGGACGAACACCACUGAACCUCAGACUGUUUUUGGUAUCGUGUCCCCUCCCCCUCCACUCUGGACAGAAGUCCAACAGCGGGGACUGUAGAAAACAACUCGUCCCAAACGUUAAAGCAAUUACAGGUAAUAGAAAUUCUGAGCUUUCUAUACUGA